rnacentral:rRNA from 1 species
UGGGGAAUAUUGCACAAUGGGGGAAACCCUGAUGCAGCGACGCCGCGUGAGCGAAGAAGGCUUUCGAGUCGUAAAGCUCUGUCCUAUGAGAAGAUAAUGACGGUAUCAUAGGAGGAAGCCCCGGCUAAAUACGUGCCAGCAGCCGCGGUAAUACGUGUGGGGCGAGCGUUGUCCGGAAUUAUUGGGCGUAAAGGGUACGUAGGCGGUCUAUUAAGUCAGGUGUGAAAGCGUGAGGCUUAACCUCAUUAAGCACUUGAAACUGAUAGACUUGAGUGAAGGGGAGGAAAGUGGAAUUCCUAGUGUAGCGGUGAAAUGCGUAGAUAUUAGGAGGAAUACCGGUGGCGAAGGCGACUUUCUGGACUUUUACUGACGCUCAGGUACGAAAGCGUGGGGAGCAAACAGG